rnacentral:rRNA from 1 species
GACGAACGCUGGCGGCGUGCUUAACACAUGCAAGUCGAACGGAAAGGCCCUGCUUUUGUGGGGUGCUCGAGUGGCGAACGGGUGAGUAACACGUGAGUAACCUGCCCUUGACUUUGGGACAACUUCAGGAAACUGGGGCUAAUACCGGAUAGGAGCUCCUGCUGCAUGGUGGGGGUUGGAAAGUUUCGGCGGUUGGGGAUGGACUCGCGGCUUAUCAGCUUGUUGGUGGGGUAGUGGCUUACCAAGGCUUUGACGGGUAGCCGGCCUGAGAGGGUGACCGGCCACAUUGGGACUGAGAUACGGCCCAGACUCCUACGGGAGGCAGCAGUGGGGAAUAUUGCACAAUGGGCGGAAGCCUGAUGCAGCAACGCCGCGUGCGGGAUGACGGCCUUCGGGUUGUAAACCGCUUUCGCCUGUGACGAAGCGUGAGUGACGGUAAUGGGUAAAGAAGCACCGGCUAACUACGUGCCAGCAGCCGCGGUGAUACGUAGGGUGCGAGCGUUGUCCGGAUUUAUUGGGCGUAGAGGGCUCGUAGGUGGUUGAUCGCGUCGGAAGUGUAAUCUUGGGGCUUAACCCUGAGCGUGCUUUCGAUACGGGUUGACUUGAGGAAGGUAGGGGAGAAUGGAAUUCCUGGUGGAGCGGUGGAAUGCGCAGAUAUCAGGAGGAACACCAGUGGCGAAGACGGUUCUCUGGGCCUUUCCUGACGCUGAGGAGCGAAAGCGUGGGGAGCGAACAGGCUUAGAUACCCUGGUAGUCCACGCUGUAAACGGUGGGUACUAGGUGUGGGGUCCAUUCCACGGGUUCCGUGCCGUAGCUAACGCUUUAAGUACCCCGCCUGGGGAGUACGGCCGCAAGGCUAAAACUCAAAGGAAUUGACGGGGCCCCGCACAAGCGGCGGAGCAUGCGGAUUAAUUCGAUGCAACGCGUAGAACCUUACCUGGGUUUGACAUGGAUCGGGAGUGCUCAGAGAUGGGUGUGCCUCUUUUGGGGUCGGUUCACAGGUGGUGCAUGGCUGUCGUCAGCUCGUGUCGUGAGAUGUUGGGUUAAGUCCCGCAACGAGCGCAACCCUUGUUCACUGUUGCCAGCACGUUAUGGUGGGGACUCAGUGGAGACCGCCGGGGUCAACUCGGAGGAAGGUGGGGAUGACGUCAAGUCAUCAUGCCCCUUAUGUCCAGGGCUUCACGCAUGCUACAAUGGCUGGUACAGAGAGUGGCGAGCCUGUGAGGGUGAGCGAAUCUCGGAAAGCCGGUCUCAGUUCGGAUUGGGGUCUGCAACUCGACCUCAUGAAGUCGGAGUCGCUAGUAAUCGCAGAUCAGCAACGCUGCGGUGAAUACGUUCCCGGGGCU